rnacentral:rRNA from 1 species
AGGGUUCGAUCAUGGCUCAGGAUGAACGCUGGCGGCGUGCUUAACACAUGCAAGUCGAACGAACCUUCGGGUUAGUGGCGGACGGGUGAGUAACGCGUGAGAAUCUGCCCUCAGGAGGGGGAUAACGGUUGGAAACGACCGCUAAUACCCCAUAUGCCUAUUGGUGAAAUGAAUUUCGCCUGAGGGUGAGCUCGCGUCUGAUUAGCUUGUUGGUGAGGUAAUGGCUCACCAAGGCUUCGAUCAGUAGCUGGUCUGAGAGGAGUGUAUUCAGCCCACACUGGGAGCUGAGACACGGCCCAGACUCCUACGGGAAGCAGCAGUGCGGAAUUUUCCGCAAUGGGCGAAAGCCUGACCGAGCAACGCCGCGCUGAGGAACGAAGGCCUCUGCGCUGUAAACCUCUUUUCUCAAGGAAGAAGAUAUGACGGUACUUGAGGAAUAAGCCACGGCUAAUUCCGUGCCAGCAGCCGCGGUAAUACGGGAGUGGCAAGCGUUAUCAGGAAUUAUUGGGCGUAAAGCGUCCGCAGGCGGCUUUUCAAGUCUGCUGUUAAAGCGUGGAGCUUAACUCCAUCAUGGCAGUGGAAACUGAAAGGCUUGAGUAUGGUAGGGGCAGAGGGAAUUCCCGGUGUAGCGGUGAAAUGCGUAGAUAUCGGGAAGAACACCAGUGGCGAAGGCGCUCUGCUGGGCCAUUACUGACGCUCAUGGACGAAAGCCAGGGGAGCGAAAGGGAUUAGAUACCCCCGUAGUCCUGGCCGUAAACGAUGAACACUAGGUGUCGGGGGAAUCGACCCCCUCGGUGUCGUAGCCAAUGCGUUAAGUGUUCCGCCUGGGGAGUACGCACGCAAGUGUGAAACUCAAAGGAAUUGACGGGGGCCCGCACGAGCGGUGGGAGUAUGUGGUUUAAUUCGAUGAUACGGCGAGGAACCCUUACCAGGGCUUAAAUGUAAGUUGCAUAGAUCAGAGGUGGUCUUUUCCUCGGGACUACUUACAAGGUGCUGCAUGGUUGUCGUCAGCUCGUGCCGUGGAGGUGUCAGGUUAAGUCCUAUAACGAGCGGCAACCCCUAAUCGUUAGUUGCCAACAGGUAAUGCUGGGAACUUCUAGCGAAGAACUGGCCCGGUGCAAACCGCAAGGAAGGUGGGGAUGACGUCAAAUCAUCACGGCCCUUACGUCCUGGCUAACACACGUGCUACCAAUGGGGUCCGGGUAUCAGGAGAGCAGCCACUACGCGAGUAGGAGCAAAUCUUCAAAGCCGAUCUCAGUUCGGAUCGGAGUCUGCAACUCGACUCCGUGAAGCUGGAAUCGCUAGUAAUCGGAUAUCAGCCAUGAUCCGGUGAAUACGUUCCCGGGCCUUGUACACACCGCCCGUCAAGCCAUGGAAGCUGGGAGUGCCUGAAGUCGGUAACCGCAAGGAGCCGCCUAGGGUAAAACUAGUGACUGGGGCUAAGUCGUAACAAGGUAACC